GGUAGCGUGGCCGAGCGGUCCAAGGCGCUGGUUUAAGGCACCAGUCUCUUCGGGGGCAUGGGUUCGAAUCCCAUUGCUGCCA
rnacentral:tRNA from 1 species